UUAGAAAUAUUUAUUUCGUAUAUUUACUUUUCCAUCGCGUUACAUUUAUUUUACACGAAUUAUAGGUUUAUCGCGUUCCAAAGCUCAGUGUGUUAUUUUACUAAUGUGCUUUUUAAGAGGAUUAUUGAAAGAAGAUUGUUUCGUAAUAAGAUUAAUCGAAAGUCUCGCAGUCACCAGCGGCAGCCAAGCUCGCAUAAAGGUAGCGUGCUUCGUCCUACUCGUCAUUUACUUCCUUAUAAAUUGUUUCAUAUCGUGAUUUACAUUAAUGUUACGCAUGUUCGCGAAUUAAGGAAAUUACCCGUGCACGUGACUGUCAUGUACGAUCCAGCGUAAUGACGUAUAAUUAAGAAACGUAUCCGUGUAACGUGGCUGUACCAACAAUAACGUUGCAAUUAAAAGAGUGGACAAUUUCGUUCAGCUCGUAACGCAAGAUUGAGAGGAAAGACGAGUCAGACCAGUUGAACGUAUUCGAGUCGUUGGACGUAAUUGAACGUAUCGCGUGUAGCAAUGUAGGAGAAGAACGGCAAGAGUGACAGAUUUUCAAGAAAACGAUAUAAUCGUACAAGUUGAAAAGAAUUUAUGUAUCCGAUGUGUUCGGAAGAAUAAGUGAAACGCUGUAAAAAUUGAUAGAAAAUUAAACUAGAAAUUUUGCCAAGAUUUUCUGAAACGUUGAAUCUAGAAAGCCGUUAAAAGGUUUGGAAAAAUGAAACCAAAUAUUCCAUGGAGUCCCCUGUGAAAGGCAAUUUUAGAAAGCAGCGAUUCUUAGAAAGGAUAGAAAAUUAAACCGAAAGACGUUCGAAGCUCUAAAAGAUUGCAAAAGAAUCGUAAACGCGUUUCUCUCCUCGCAAAAGUCUUUCGCAAGAAGAGGAAGAUUUCACGAAUAGCGACGAUCGAGUCGAAAAGGCUACAACAACGACCCAAGUAUCAAGGCCAAGGGUUCAUAUACUCGGAUCGACGAACAAUUUUUCAUCAAAGUCAGGGAAUUAAAUGACGCGCUAUAACAUAUCCCUUGUUAUCUCAACGAUGAUAUCCUUUCAGGCAACCACGAUAUCUCUAUUUUAUCUCUACGUAGUUUAAAUAUCCUCUAGUCAACUGCGGUACGAAGUGCCAGAUUAAGAAUACUUAAGUCUGUAACGCGGUAUGCAACAAGGACCUUGAAUUCUCUACUUUAAUUGUCCAUUGCAAUUAUCUUGGACUUAGUUGGAUCCAAUAACUUGGAACUCUAAGAUAUUACAAAUCUGUUGAAAAUUAUGGAUCUUAAUUGCCGAAAUAAAAGUAAAGGAACACCAAGGUUACGCUUAGAAUUCAUAUUAAAAUAGUUUUAGAUUUAUUUAAUAAACGAUGUCCAGGAUCUUCGUCGAUAUAUAUUUGCACGCGUCUCAGCGUUCUCUUUGUCACGCCAUCUUCCACCCCACGCUGCCAACGGAACAGUUAGAUUCGUCUGCUUUUCAUACACGUACUUUCACACACUCAUAUUCACAUACGCGUGUCACUACUACGCGGCCAAUCUAGUCUAACACACAAAAUUAUAAAUAUCUCGAUAAAAUCAAUUCGAGUGUCGAGUAAUAUUAAUUGUCGAUUUUUAUUUCGUUCAAUUUGGAUAGAACAAGCAGAUUCAACGACGAAGAACGUGUCAAAUUUACGAGGUUUUCCUCUCGCAGAGUAAUUAUACCGAGGAAUGUGACGGAAAACGACGAUUAUCCUGCAAACUGUUUCCUUCCUCUGGCGUAUCUCUUCGUCAAAUACGCAGCAACAAGGAUAACGUGCGUGAGAGCGAAUCUCUCGAUUGGUUAUCUUAGGAGGAACAAAAGCAUCUAUUGUUCGCCGAACCUUCUAAUUAUGAGAAUUCUAAUGUAACAUUACAGGGAGAAACUAAGAAACACGUACGUUCGUCGUAAAAAUCAGGUCGGUAACAAAAACGUGAGAGGUUAGUUUUCCAAAUGUCUAUAAAACUAGAGAAGAGGAAGAUUAUUGAGAUAUGUGUAAUUUUGUGUGCUACACUGGAUUAGUCGCGUGGUAGUGACACACGUAUAUCAGUAUGAGUGUGUGGGGGUAUGUGCGUGCACGGCGUCUGGUAAAACAGAAAAAUACAACUGUUCCGUUGGUAAUGUGGUAAAGGAGAUGGUGAGAUAAAGAGAGUUACUGAGACGCGUGCAAAUGUGUAUCGACGAAUAUCUUGUAAAUCACAUAUUAAAUAGAUCUGAAACUAUUUUCAUAUCAAUUCUAAAUGUAAUCUAAGGGUUCCUAUACAUUUAUUACGGCGAUUAAGACCCACAAUUCUCAACAAAGAUUACCAUUACCAGCCUUGUUUACGUUCAAGUAAAGAGAUAUUAAAGCGACUGAUCGAUCGAAGGGAAGGAAAUAUUUGAAACACUGAGAUAAAAGUAACGCAGUAUCGAUAGAAUAAUCUCAUUAAUGGAAAAUAAUCGCAAUUGAUUUACAACAGAAGGUAACAGAAAAUGGCAAUAACUAGCAAUGUGUAAGUGAAAACCGCAAAAGUGGAACCUAUCUUGCGGCCAUGUAACGUAUCCGCGUAAACACACGCACGCACAGAGUCACACACACGCGUAAGGCAUAAAAGAAAACGUAUUCUUCCUUUUGGACAUUGAAACUGAACCUGAGUUAUCGCGAGCAUUUUUGCUUAGCCGCUAGUGUACUCGAAAGUGGCCGUAAAUAAUCGUCAGAAGGACGUAAUAAAUACCGAGAGUUUCAGGGUAAGUAA
rnacentral:lncRNA from 1 species